rnacentral:rRNA from 1 species
AACUUAAAGGAAUUGACGGGGCCCGCACAAGCAGCGGAGCGUGUGGUUUAAUUCGAUGAUACGCGAAGAACCUUACCUGGUCUUGACAUGCACGUGGUACUGAUUCGAAAGAUGAGGGACCCUUCGGGGAGCGUGCACAGGUGUUGCACGGCCGUCGUCAGCUCGUGCCGUGAGGUGUUGGGUUAAGUCUCGCAACGAGCGCAACCCCCGUCGCCAGUUGUAUUUUUCUGGCGAGACUGCCGGGAAAUCCCCGGAGGAAGGAGGGGAUGAUGUCAGGUCAGCGUGGCCCUUACGACCAGGGCUACACACACGCUACAAUGGGUGGUACAGAGGGUCGCGAAGCCGCGAGGUGGAGCUAAUCCCACAAAGCCAUCCUCAGUUCGGAUUGCAGGCUGAAACUCGCCUGCAUGAAGCCGGAGUUGCUAGUAACCGCAGGUCAGCACUACUGCGGUGAAUACGUUCCCGGGCCUU